UAUAAUUUCAGUAUAUCAGAUUUUGCAUUUGGCUCAGUAUUAGUUGGUCUUCUCUCUCUCUCUAAAAACCCUCUGUCUUCUCUCUAGCACAUCUCAGAUCUGAAUCGUGUUUCCGGCUGGCGGUUCCGGCUCUCCAAGCCACCGGCCGGCGGUUCCGGCUCUCCAAGCCACCGUCGGCCAGUUUUAGAUCUAAAUCUUAAAUCCAUUCGUUGAGCUUUUGGUUUUGGUUGGUGCUGAUUAAGGAGUCUUUGAACAUGCAUGGAUCUUUGUAUCUGGUGUUUUUGGACCUGGUUCUUCCCCACCGUUUGUUUGGUAACCUCUUCCUCAACUGUUUCUCUGUUCGUUUGCGAUUUCACUGUUUAUGUGGUCUCGAACUGUUGUUGUGAUUGGUGGGUUCAGAAGGAUGCUUAACCGUUAGAAGGUGUUGCAAAAAUUAGGCCUCUGAGGUAUUUGCUUGCAGGUAAGAUAUCCGGUUCGUCUCGAAGGUUCUGGGGCUUUGGCUCCUUAUCAUCAUUUCGUCGAAGGCGUCAGGUUUACCGACCUCUUCCAUGAGUCUUCUUUGGAGGUGUUAAGUGCUCGUGGCUUCUUAAGUGGUAUGUUGUGGUGACGUUUGGAGCAUAAUAAAGAGUGUAGCCUUGAACUCCAUUAAUAAGUUUGUUCUUUGUUGACUUUAUCCUUCUUCUCUUUUUUGUCCCUUCCAGUUUUAACAUUGUUCAGUGUAUUGUAUUGUUGGAUCUGUUCUGAAUUUGUUUCAUCCUAGCUCUAAGGUUUUUUCUUUUGGUUC